rnacentral:misc_RNA from 1 species
UUCUUUGUCUGCUGCUGCAACUUCUUCAACCGCAAACACGUAUUAUGACAGGCGUCAAUGACAUAUCGCAAGAAUUCAUGAGCAUCCUCUUGCCUCCCAAACCUAAAAUGCUGGGCGAAAAUCUUUAAGCAACUAUUAAUCUUGGCCGGAGUAUCUAGUGCUGAUUCAAGACUCAAAGACCUAGCUAUUCUCUUCUCUAAUAUACAAAAAGGACAUUCACUUUUCUUCCCUGAAGCAGCUGCAGCUUCAGAAUCACAAGAAGCGGAAUGUUGAGAUUUGAGGCAGAAAUAAGCAAGAGGAGGGGUAUAAGUAAGGCACUGAAGAACGGAGUUGAUAUAACAGGUAUUUCCGAUGUUUUUAAGCCCUAAAGGAGGACCAGUCUUGCGUUUGUGGCUAAGCAGGUUGGGCUGCCAAUUCAUUUGCAAAUAGGCCAUUAACGACCUGAUUCGUCUUCCUCCGUCAGAACCGCCGCGUAUGGGCUGCCCCGAAGCUGCAGCCACCACGAUCGCAUCGCCUCUACCACUUGAGUACACCUCCUUUCUUCUCUAUAUCUCUUUCUCUUAGGUUUUGUAGUAAAUUCGGGUUCAGUGAGGAGGGAGAUUUGGAGAAGAACGGAGGUUUAAUUGUGGUUUGAAAAAAUGGCAAAUGUGUUUUAUUAAAUUUGGGGUAAAAAUUUUAG